CACGCUAACUGUGCAUCUAGUGGGUACGCAACCGGCUGGGAUGCCACCGGGGCACAACCUUGUAUUCAGGCUGAUAGCACCCGGAGGCAGGGCUUCUACCCAGCAAACCGGUUAGAGGAAUCAGGGAGCCUCGGCAGCUGUGACUGGCGUUCUGCAUGCCUCUCUGCUUCCUGAGGCUACUCACUUCCUUGCUUGCAUGUGGCCACAGUGGCAAGUUCCAACAGUUUCUUCAGUCAACGACCCCUCCCUCCCGACUUUGCAGUUUGAGUCACCUUCAAUUUCCUGCCUGCCUGCCCCUUCCCUGAUUGACCUGAUAAAUCCAGGACAGCUUUUAUUGCUUUUGGCAAAACAUUGCCAUUAAGAUUUACGGAGCCAAAAGCUGGUACAAUGUAAUCUUCAGAGUAAUUUACACAGUGAGUUUCAAA
ensembl:lincRNA 1700012C14Rik RIKEN cDNA 1700012C14 gene